rnacentral:rRNA from 1 species
UACGUAGGGUGCAAGCGUUGUCCGGAAUUAUUGGGCGUAAAGAGCUCGUAGGCGGUUUGUUGCGUCGGCUGUGAAAUCCCGAGGCUCAACCUCGGGUCUGCAGUCGAUACGAGCAAACUAGAGUGUUGCAGGGGAGACUGGAAUUCCUGGUGUAGCGGUGGAAUGCGCAGAUAUCAGGAGGAACACCAAUAGCGAAGGCAGCGCGCUGGGACGGUACUGACGCUAAGGCGCGAAAGCGUGGGGAGCGAACAGG